rnacentral:rRNA from 1 species
UACGGGGGGAGCAAGCGUUGUUCGGAUUUACUGGGCGUAAAGGGCGCGUAGGCGGUCGUGACAAGUCACUUGUGAAAUCUCCGGGCUUAACUCGGAACGGUCAAGUGAUACUGUCGGACUAGAGUACAGAAGGGGCAACUGGAAUUCUCGGUGUAGCGGUGAAAUGCGUAGAUAUCGAGAGGAACACCUGCGGCGAAGGCGGGUUGCUGGGCUGAUACUGACGCUGGAGGCGCGAAAGCCAGGGGAGCGAACGGG